rnacentral:rRNA from 1 species
CCUACGGGAGGCAGCAGUAGGGAAUAUUGCACAAUGGGCGAAAGCCUGAUGGAGCAACGCCGCGUGGGUGAAGAAGGUCUUCGGAGCGUAAAACCCUGUUGGUAGAGAAGAAAGUGCGUGAGCGUGACUGUUCACGUUUCGACGGUAUCUAACCAGAAAGCCACGGCUAACUAAGUGCCAGCAGCCGCGGUAGUACGUAGGGGGCAAGCGUUAUCCGGAUUUAUUGGGCGUAAAGGGAGCGCAGGCGGUCUUUUAAGUCUGAUGUGAAAGCCUGCGGCUUAACCGGAGUAGUGCAUUGGAAACUGGGAGACGUGAGUGCAGAAGAGGAGAGUGGAACUCCAGGUGUAGCGGUGAAAGGCGUAGAUAUAUGGAAGAACACCAGUGGCGAAGGCGGCUCUCUGGUCUGUAACUGACGCUGAGGUUCGAAAGCGUGGGGAGCAAACAGG